UAUAUAUACAAUACCUAAAUCAAAGAUAACUUGAAUACAUUAUUGAACAGAAACAGACGAUUUCAUAUUUUAUUUGAUACUCACAUCCAAAUCCCUUAUUAGAAUGUCUCACACUGUAUAAACGUUAUCACAUGUAUCUAUGUUCUUUGUACUGAAACACUCAUUCAACACACACACACACACACGCACGCACGCACGCACACACACACACACACACACACACACACACACACACACACACACGUACAUGGACACACACCCAUACUUUCUCUCUUGUGUGUUUGUUUGGGUGUGUGGGGGGUGUGUAUGUGUGUCUGUGUGUGUGUGUGUCUGUGUGUGUGUGUCUGUUUGUGGGGUGUGUGUGUGUGUCUGUGUGUGUGUGUGUGUAUGUGUAUGUGUGUGUGCCUGUGUGUCUGUCUGUGUCUUUGUGUGUGUGUGUGCACGUGUGUGGGACCUCCCUCUUCACUGAGACACCCAUAAACCAUUCAACCAUUCAUCAAAUGUUGACAUCACUUCAGACGUGUGAGAGUAUUGUGUUGUGUUGAGUGUGUUUGUUGAACGUGCGUGAGUCGGGUGGGAGGGAAGCUUGAGUAUGAACCCUGCUCCCCAAACGUUAAACAUGAUUCGACCCAAAAAGGAUCCUCGUCAACUUAACAUAUCCUCUACCUCCUCCUCCUCUAUCCUUGUGCCUUCACAGCUUGUUAUGCUACUGGUGUCAAUUCAUUUUUAAGUGCUUCAGUACCAAUUCAACCCCUCAUAAUUCCCUUCCUGCACACAAGGGGACUUGGGGUUGUGAAUAAGAUUAAUGGAAAACAAAGGCCCUGUUUAUUAAUUGAUCAGAAUGCUUGAUAUCUGAUAUCAAAAGCGUCGUUUGAGAGAAUUCACAGUGAGAAAUAAACAGACAAACAUACGCUCAUCUGUGUAUGAGCGUAUGGAUUGUAAGGUCACAUGGAUUGUUGGACGCUAGCCUGUCCCCAUAGUGUAUGUACAGUAGCCAACUCUUCUAUCAUUGUCAUGCCGUACAUACUCCUCAGCUAUAGUCUUAUUCCAGAUAAUGCAGCUUUCUGCACUUUGUCGUACAAGUUUUUGAUAGAAAUGGCGGCACCAUUGGGAAGACAAUGCAGCUACAGUUGUAUCGAUGGCAUUUUCACCAGAUGGUUCUGAAGCAUAGAGAUAAAAAAAAGAGAGCACACGUCUUAUCUUUGCCAUUGAGGACUAUCCCCAUUUCUGAAGUUGUCCAUUUUCUCUUCUUCAUGCUAAAACAGGCUUUGUGGCAAGUGCGCCCUCUAUUCAUCUCUGUGUUCUGAAUUAUUUGGUGCUGAAAAUAGCCCAAAGAUCCAGGAUGAGAGCACAAUACUAUGCCAGAGUUGGAUGUACUCUGUUCGACAUUCCCGAAACAGACAAACAUGCUCUGUUUCAUUUCUUCACAUAUCAGAGUUGUUCCCUAUUUGGGGCGAAGGUCCAACACUAGAAAAAAAGCUAAUUAUCAAACAUAAACGGAGAAGAAAAAAAAUGUGCUUGACUUCAGAGUAUCCAGCUGCAAUCCUAAACACUUUUUUACUCUGUUCUUGACUUUCAGUGUCACUCUAGUGCCUUGGGGAGGGAUGCUUCGUUCCCACUCCUUUCAGAUGGGACUCCCCAAAUAAAUAUUACUAUCCAUUUUAAUUGACCCGUCCAACAUCUCUUUGACUCACACCUUCCACCCUAGUCAGAGUAUAAUACACGAGGGACCAAAUAUUAUCUCUACUACUCAAUCAAAAGACACCAAUGGUUGAACACAGCCAUAAACUAACGAACCUUUCAAAUAAUUCUGACACAAGAUGACCCUCCCCCAUAUUCCCCUGUAUCAGUGGUUCUCAACCUUUUUUGUCAACUGUACCCCGAAUCACAUAGACUCCGAUUCCCUUUUUAAUGCACUUUUCUCUCUAUGCGUAUUCUGACCUUGAACUUAAGCAUGAGAAAAGCACGCUAUUCACCCUCUAAUCCUUCUGGGUAGAAAUCUACAGAUAAGCCAUAUUCUGACUUUGACUUAAUUCCCUCACCUUUAAGCACGAGGAAAGCAUUGAAUAAGGUAGAGUGAACCUGCUGGUUCCAAGCAUGUACUUAAAAAAAUUUCGAUAGAAAUAACAGCAUUCUCCAUGCAUGGUAAUUUAUAAAUGGAUAAGAGCUAUUGGUAAGAGCUAGGUAAAUGAGCAAUCCAUUUGGAGAAGGGGAUUGUAAAAGCACACCAAUUGAUUUAGGUGGUUUUUCCUUAUGAUCUCUGAAAAUCAAAUUAAAAGGUGCUAUAUAGAACCUAAAAGGGUUCUCCGGCUGUCCCCAUACGAGAACAUUUUUGGUUCCAGGUAGAACCCUUGAACCCAAGUUAUAGGCUUCUGUAUGGCUGAACCUGCAGAGUUGAUGUAUGCACUUUAGAAUUGUUUAAUUAUAGCCAAUGCCCAGGCUUUUCUUCGUUUUAUAAAAAAAUAUGUAUCAUGUUAAAUAUUAGCCACCAUCGGGGGCCACCGUCAGUAAUACCCACAUACUAUACCCACAUUUAUAACUGUCACUUUAGUGUUAGUUUUCUUUCACGUCUGUGUAAGCUGUUCCUGAGGGCAGUGGCGGAUUUAGGUGGUUUUUCCUUAUGAUCUCUGAAAAUCAAAUUAAAAGGUGCUAUAUAGAACCUAAAAGGGUUCUCCGGCUGUCCCCAUACGAGAACAUUUUUGGUUCCAGGUAGAACCCUUGAACCCAAGUUAUAGGCUUCUGUAUGGCUGAACCUGCAGAGUUGAUGUAUGCACUUUAGAAUUGUUUAAUUAUAGCCAAUGCCCAGGCUUUUCUUCGUUUUAUAAAAAAAUAUGUAUCAUGUUAAAUAUUAGCCACCAUCGGGGGCCACCGUCAGUAAUACCCACAUACUAUACCCACAUUUAUAACUGUCACUUUAGUGUUAGUUUUCUUUCACGUCUGUGUAAGCUGUUCCUGAGGGCAGUGGCGGAUUUAGGUAUAGGCGACAUGGGCAGCCGCCCAGGGCGGCAUCUUGCCAGGGGCAGCACAGGGCGCCCGCAUAAAAAAUUCAGAAUGGUGACAUUUGCGCGAUCGGUUUUCUAUCGCUCAUUUGCACGUCACGUCAAUGAUAUCAUGUCACGGUGGGUCAAUUAACCUUGUCGGAAUGGGCUCCCUGAUUCUAGUUUGUGAGCUAGACAGGCUACUGCCUGGGAAGGUCUCCCACUCAGAAAUACAAGAUGGGGAGGGGAGCGGGGGUAGGUUGACCUCAGGUCUCCUCACUGGAAGCCCGAGGUAGGGGGAGCGGGGAAUCUAUCAAAUAGCGCACCUCGAACUUUGUACAGUACUAAUGCAAUUAGUAAAAUCAGUCACACUACAAAAUGUUACCAAAUAAACCAUAAUUCAUUCAUAAUACUGUGAAUAUAUAGUUUCACAGACAUAUUGUUGCAUUUUUUUCUGGUUUGUACGAAAUCAUUAAGAAUAAUAUAAAACCAGUCAGCACACCACCAAGGUGAAUUUGAUAAGUCUUGAUUCUUGGUUGACAGUGCUGGGGGAUGGGUAAUGUAUUGACGGUUGAGUGCCAAAUCAACACAAAUUUGUUUCUAUUUGUCUUUGUUACUUAUGAGUCUUAUUUAUGUAUAUAUUUUAUAUUUAUAUAGUUUUAAAUGUUAUGAUUAUUUGUGUUGUUCCAAAUGUCGGAAUAAAAAUUACAGUCAGUGCAGAAUGGAGCCAUACCAUCUAGAACCUUCCACUUCCUGAGUGUUGCUAGCAUUAGGCUAAUGUUGUGCAAUCAUUUCGGACAUGUAGCCUAUUUGAAUCAUUAUGGAACUCAGACCACACUUAGCAGGUUAAACCUGGAGCUCGGCGAACGGUUCAUAACGACUGGACCGUUGUCAUACAGUUCGAUGAUUAGUAAGGCUUAGGGUAGAUUUAUAGGACUAUUGUUCAACCCCUAUUGUACACUUUUUCCCACCUUCCAAUAUUUCAUGGAUUGAACUUGAAUAUGACAACUUUCAGGAUGAAUCAAACCAAUAUAUUUCUUGCGCGUAAGGGAACCUCGUCAGCAAACCUCAUUACGUACCUUCAUAAGGUAAGUCUGAGUACCAACUACUGAGAAGUGCGUAGGAAAGGCGUGCACAAGAAAGGCAUCAUUUAUUACGUCAAAAUCAGGUCCAUAAUGCUGUGCACAAAGUAUCCCCUCAAUUAUACGUAUUCGAGUCUUCCCAAGUACCCCCUGUGAAUAGGCCAGAUACCCCCAGGGUUGCUAGUACCCCAGGUUGAGAACCACUGCCCAAAUAUCCCCCACAAAGGCACAGAGUGACACUCAGAGAUCAACAUUGUCAGUCGGACUAUCAAAAUCAUGUAUAAUGUGCUUUGGUGUUUAUAUACAGUGAGGGAAAAAAGUAUUUGAUCCCCUGCUGAUUUUGUACGUUUGCCCACUGACAAAGAAAUGAUCAGUCUAUAAUUUUAAUGGUAGGUUUAUUUGAACAGUGAGAGACAGAAUAACAACAACAAAAUCCAGAAAAACGCAUGUCAAAAAUGUUAUAAAUUGAUUUGCAUUUUAAUGAGGGAAAUAAGUAUUUGACCCCCUCUCAAUCAGAAAGAUUUCUGGCUCCCAGGUGUCUUUUAUACAGGUAACGAGCUGAGAUUAGGAGCACACUCUUAAAGG
rnacentral:lncRNA from 1 species